rnacentral:rRNA from 1 species
CGUACACUCCUACGGGAGGCAGCAGUGGGGAAUUUUGGACAAUGGGCGAAAGCCUGAUCCAGCCAUGCCGCGUGCAGGAUGAAGGCCUUCGGGUUGUAAACUGCUUUUGUACGGAACGAAACGGCCUUUUCUAAUAAAGAGGGCUAAUGACGGUACCGUAAGAAUAAGCACCGGCUAACUACGUGCCAGCAGCCGCGGUAAUACGUAGGGUGCAAGCGUUAAUCGGAAUUACUGGGCGUAAAGCGUGCGCAGGCGGUUAUGUAAGACAGUUGUGAAAUCCCCGGGCUCAACCUGGGAACUGCAUCUGUGACUGCAUAGCUAGAGUACGGUAGAGGGGGAUGGAAUUCCGCGUGUAGCAGUGAAAUGCGUAGAUAUGCGGAGGAACACCGAUGGCGAAGGCAAUCCCCUGGACCUGUACUGACGCUCAUGCACGAAAGCGUGGGGAGCAAACAGGAUUAGAAACCCCGGUAGUCCCAUGAU